rnacentral:rRNA from 1 species
UGCAAGUCGAGGGGUAACGAUGUCUUCGGACAGGCGACGACCGGCGCACGGGGGAGUACCGCGUUUUUAACCUACCUUUAACUGGAGAAUAGCCCGAAGAAAUUCGGAUUAAUACUCCAUAAUACUAUGAUCUGGCAUCUUUUUAUAGUUAAAGCUCCGGCGGUUAAAGAUGGGCAUGCGUAACAUUAGUUUUUUGGGGAGGUAACGGCUCACCAAGACUACGAUGUUUAGGGGGUCUGAGAGGAUGGUCCCCCACACUGGUACUGAGACACGGACCAGACUCCUACGGGAGGCAGCAGUGAGGAAUAUUGGUCAAUGGGCGCAAGCCUGAACCAGCCAUGCCGCGUGAAGGAUGACAGCGCUAUGCGUUUUAAACUUUUUUUUUACAGGAAGAAACACUUUUACGUGUAGAAGCUUGACGGUACUGUACGAAUAAGCAUCGGCUAACUCCGUGCCAGCAGCCGCGGUAAUACGGAGGAUGCAAGCGUUAUCCGGAUUUAUUGGGUUUAAAGGGUACGUAGGCGGAAAAUUAAGUCAGUAGUGAAAUCCUGCAGCUUAACUGUAGAACUGUUAUUGAUACUGGUUUUUUUGAAUAUAGUUGAGGUAGGCGGAAUGUGUAAUGUAGCGGGGAAAUGCUUAGAUAUUACACAGAACACCGAUUGCGAAGGCAGCUUACUAAGCUAUGAUUGACGCUGAGGUAC